rnacentral:rRNA from 1 species
UGAGGGAAAGGCGAAAAGAACCCCGGCGAGGGGAGUGAAAAAGAACCUGAAACCGUGUACGUACAAGCAGUGGGAGCACAGGUUUACCUGUGUGACUGCGUACCUUUUGUAUAAUGGGUCAGCGACUUAUAUUCUGUAGCAAGGUUAACCGUAUAGGGGAGCCGUAGGGAAACCGAGUCUUAACCGGGCGUUAAGUUGCAGGGUAUAGACCCGAAACCCGGUGAUCUAGCCAUGGGCAGGUUGAAGGUUGGGUAACACUAACUGGAGGACCGAACCGACUAAUGUUGAAAAAUUAGCGGAUGACCUGUGGCUGGGGGUGAAAGGCCAAUCAAACCGGGAGAUAGCUGGUUCUCCCCGAAAGCUAUUUAGGUAGCGCCUCGUGAAUUCAUCUCCGGGGGUAGAGCACUGUUUCGGCUAGGGGGCCAUCCCGGCUUACCAACCCGAUGCAAACUGCGAAUACCGGAGAAUGUUAUCACGGGAGACACACGGCGGGUGCUAACGUCCGUCGUGAAGAGGGAAACAACCCAGACCGCCAGCUAAGGUCCCAAAGUCAUGGUUAAGUGGGAAACGAUGUGGGAAGGCCCAGACAGCCAGGAUGUUGGCUUAGAAGCAGCCAUCAUUUAAAGAAAGCGUAAUAGCUCACUGGUCGAGUCGGCCUGCGCGGAAGAUGUAACGGGGCUAAACCAUGCACCGAAGCUGCGGCAGCGAACGUAUCACCCAAGACAACUUUACGGAGUUGACGAUUGACGGAGCGAAGCGACGUCAAAGCGUUCAUUAAAGUCGAGUUGGCUUAGGGAUACGUUCGUUGGGUAGGGGAGCGUUCUGUAAGCCUGUGAAGGUGUGUCGUGAGGCAUGCUGGAGGUAUCAGAAGUGCGAAUGCUGACAUAAGUAACGAUAAAGCGGGUGAAAAGCCCGCUCGCCGGAAGACCAAGGGUUCCUGUCCAACGUUAAUCGGGGCAGGGUGAGUCGACCCCUAAGGCGAGGCCGAAAGGCGUAGUCGAUGGGAAACGGGUUAAUAUUCCCGUACUUGGUGUUACUGCGAAGGGGGGACGGAGAAGGCUAUGUUGGCCGGGCGACGGUUGUCCCGGUUUAAGCGUGUAGGUGUGUGUUCCAGGUAAAUCCGGUUCACUUUAACACUGAGGCGU